rnacentral:snoRNA from 1 species
CCAGCUGUGAUGAGCCUCUAACAUAUAAGGAGCAUUCCCUAUGUGGGUUUCUUCAGUGAAAUUUACUUGUUACGCUUGGCUUCUGAGCUUU